rnacentral:rRNA from 1 species
AGGUGUGAUCAUACUGGUGUUAAUGCACCAGAUCCCAUCAGAACUCCACAGUUAAGCCUGCUUGGGCUAGAGUAGUACUGGGAUGGGUGACCUCUUGGGAAGUCCUAGUGUUGCACCCU